rnacentral:tRNA from 1 species
GCCAAGGUAGCUCAAUUGGUAGAGCGCUGCGUUGAAGGCGCAGGCGUUGGGGGUUCGAUUCCCUCCUUUGGCACCA